GGCUGGUCCAAUGGUAGUGGGUUCUCAGAACUUAUUUAACAUUAGUGUUACUAAAGUUGGUAUACAACCCCCCACUGCUAAAUUUGACUAGCUUAAA
rnacentral:Y_RNA from 1 species